CCCUUAGACGUUCUGGGCCGCACGCGCGCUACACUGACCAGUGCAACAAGCAUCCGUCCUUGGCCGACAGGCCCGGGCAAUCUUUGAACGCUGGUCGUGAUGGGGAUAGACUUUUGCAAUUUUUGGUCUUCAACGAGGAAUUCCUAGUAAACGCAAGUCAUCAACUUGCAUUGAUUACGUCCCUGCCCUUUGUACACACCGCCCGUCGCUCCUACCGAUUGAAUGUGUUGGUGAGGAGCUCGGAUUGGCAGCAGUUGGUGGUUCGCCACCGGCUAUUGCUGAGAAGUCCUCCAAACCGCCCCAUUUAGAGGAAGGAGAAGUCGUAACA
rnacentral:rRNA from 1 species